rnacentral:misc_RNA from 1 species
AUUUGACAUGCAUGGACCGCAUAUUGAAACGUGACUAAUAUUUGACUACUCAUUGUCAAAAUGCCUCCAAAAAAGGCAGUUCCUACUUCAAAAACGUGUAAAAAGGGAGCCGCAAAGCCGGUCUCUAAUAUAAAGUCAGUUUCGCCGACGAAAUCUCGCACGACAGGCAAGGGGACUUCAAAGGCUCCCCCGAACACGGGCCCGAAGGGAGCCAAACAUGCUGCAGCAGGAGUAUCGGGUAGCAAGGCUGGCGGGAAAACAAAAUCUGCCAAACCGCAGAAAGAAUGGAGCAAAGAAGAUGACCAGGCAAGAAUCAUACAAACAGCAGCAAGGAAGUAUCUUGCACGGAAGAGAGUGCAGAAGUUGAAGAAAGAUAAACAAGAUUAUGAAGAACUUAUGGUGAAAUUAGAGAAGGAGGCAUGGCUGCAAAUGGUUGAAAGGGAGCGAGAGGAAGAGGAAAAGGAGCGACAGAAAGAACAAGAGGAAAGAAAGAAAAAAGCUCAAGAAAUGAAGUGGAGAAAACGUUUGUUGGAGGCUGCGUUUGAUGGGGAUGAUGAGGAAAUCAAUUGUGUCUUGAAUGAGGCUUUAGCCAACGACAAGAAGCAAGAAAAUAUACCAGAAACAGUGCGAGAACUACACAUAAAGAAGCAUCAACUAAGCCUCUCUGAUUGCGAAGACGCGAACGGUAACACUCCACUUUCGGAGGCCUCAGCCGGAGGACACGCGAGUACCAUACAGCUGCUUCUUCACAAGGGAGUUGAGAUCAAUUCCAGAGGCCGUUAUGAGCGCACACCGCUGUGGAGAGCUGCCUUCGCCGGGCAUUUGCAGGCAGUCCAGUUGCUCUUGGAAAAUGGUGGUGAUCCUCGCCUUCAUGCUAGUGAUGGAACAUCUCCUGUCCAGGUAGCGGCAAUUGCAGUUGUGGAAGAAUUUCUAAAGGCCUGGGAUGUUCAACGUACAGACGAAUUAUUGAAAAAACUUGAAGAAAAUAAAGAACAAAAACUUGAGGAGGAACAGGCGCAACAAAAGCAAGAAUGUGACAGGUUAGAAAAGAAAUUACAUGAAGCUGAGAAAGAGGACAAAGCUUGUCAAAUGAGACUGGAGAAAGCACAUUGCGAGCUGAACAAGAGGAUAUUUGAACAUGACAAAUGCGUUGCUAUGGGAGAUGAGAAGAAAAUAAAGAUUACUUUGCAGACUGUUCAUGAUGCCGAGCUGGAGUUGGAAACAGCAAAACAAAACAGCAAGGUAGCACGUGAUAAACUCGCGCAGUUGAAAUUGAGAUUGAGAGAGCAAAGAAAAGAAGGAGUCGGUAAUACCGGCGGCGAAGAUGCAAGUGAACUAGUAGGGAUAAAGGUGUCUAUAAAGGAGCUUGAUGAUGUCCUGAUGAGGGACGUUGGUGGUAAAAUUGCUCAAAGUGGCAGAUGGCCUCUUCUUAUCGAUUCUUCAACUCAAACUUCUACGUUUCUGCGUUAUCGUGAUACAAACUUUCUCAACGCCCUGAAUCCAAGCAAUAUGGAACCGGAUGUCAUACGGCUUGCUAUUCUGGGAGCUGUACGGUGAGAUGAUCGUUCGAGUUAGAUGUGGACAUUUCUGUUUUAGGUCUUCUAACGCGAUCUGCAUGCGUUUCGUUCAAAGAGAAUUGUUUAUCUAGGCUCUCCGAUGUUCAAGUACACUAUAUUCAAGGCAUUUUUCUCGUUGGUUUUCGCAUAAAAAAUUAAAAGCUUUUCGUUUUACGCACUACUCUCUAUUUUAGUUUCGGGAAACCACUGGUGCUGGACAUGAUGGCAGUUGAUAUGUUCGAAAGUGUCAAAAUAAAGUUCGACGUCGUUCAAGAGGGCCUGCU